CACAAGCACUGUGCAUGUAGGUUCAUCAACCGAUGGGUUUCUAGGUGGAAUAUAAUGUCGAAUGAAGCGAUUAAGCAUAAAGGUGUAUACUUCAUUUUAUUUAAGUGAUCCAUUUUGUAUAUUCAUGUAUUUUUAAAUGCUUAUUCAUGAAUAUCAUCUAUAUAUAUUGUUUUUGAUGCAUUUCUUCACAUGCUUAGAACUUAUUAGCAGCUUGUGGGCACUUCGAAAGCAUCGGUCUGUGUAAAGAUUGAGUCUUUAUCGAGCAUACAUAUUCUAGACCCAUGUAGAAGCAUUCGUAUAAAUGCUACUCAAUGCAUAUCUUUUUUAUAUAUAUUGUUUUAGUGCAUCGAUAUAUGCUUGAUCUUGUCAUCUAAGGAAGCACACUUAUUAUCUGCUUAACUAUGGACCUUAUAGAUACAUUGAUCUUUUAGUAAGUUUCUUUUGUCAAAAGCGUACCACUACUUCAUUAGGGCUAGCCUUGAUACUUACUAAGUACAUAUUGAUUAUUGUACUCAUACUAUAUUUCUACAUAUUUUUAUGCAUACUUUGUUUCUAUACUAGCGGGUCCGAGGAGAUAGUAUAGGAGCAAAUACUUGAAGACUUCAUGGUAAGCUAUCAUGCUUGGAUUCGCAGCUUUUGGAGUCACAUUCUCUCUUAUCUAUUUUUGUCCUUUGUUUGAGACAGUUAUGUAUUUUGGGACCAUUGUAUUUAUCCAUCUUUAGUCACUCAUGACUUGUACUACAAGUUCUUGGGGGAUUAUAGUAAUGUUUUCAUAUUGUAUUAGAUUUAUCAUUAUUUAUCUGUUAUUUUGAUUUUUAUUAUUAUUAUUAUUAUUAUUAUUAUUAUUAUUAUUAUUAUUGUCUAAGUAUUUUAUGAUUGUGAUGUUGGUUGAUUGGUUCGCCUAGCAAGUGAUAUUAGGUGUCAUCACGACGUGAUAGAAUUUGGUUCAUGACAUCCAUGCUCAAAUAUAUCCUCAGCAAGUACGACUCCCGUACGCCUUUGAGUCCAUGCCCAAAUAUAUUAUCAGCAAGUACGACUCCAUUGGCCUCUGUAGUCCAAGUUUGGAUAUAUUUUCAGCAAGUAUGACUCUGUUGCGCCCUUGAGUCCAUGUUUAAUUAUUUUGUAAUAAGUACCGCUCCUUUAUGAGAAAUUCAUAUAUUAUUUUCGUAUAUCUUCUUAUGAUAUACCUUGUUUUCACAAUACUACAGCUUGUUUGGAUGGUUGUUGU
rnacentral:lncRNA from 1 species